GACCAACGCUGGCGGCGUGCUUAACACAUGCCAGUCGAACGGAAAGGCUCCAGCUUGCUGGAGUACUCGAGUGGCGAACGGGUGAGUAACACGUGGGUAAUCUGCCCUGCACUCUGGGAUAAGCCUGGGAAACUGGGUCUAAUACUGGAUAUGACCUUUCUCCUUAUGGGGUUUGGUGGAAAGUUUUUCGGUGUAGGAUGAGCCCGCGGCCUAUCAGCUUGUUGGUGGGGUGAUGGCCUACCAAGGCGACGACGGGUAGCCGGCCUGAGAGGGUGAUCGGCCACAUUGGGACUGAGAUACGGCCCAGACUCCUACGGGAGGCAGCAGUGGGGAAUAUUGCACAAUGGGCGGAAGCCUGAUGCAGCGACGCCGCGUGAGGGAUGACGGCCUUCGGGUUGUAAACCUCUUUCAGCAGGGACGAAGCGUAAGUGACGGUACCUGCAGAAGAAGCACCGGCUAACUAUGUG
rnacentral:rRNA from 1 species